rnacentral:rRNA from 1 species
UGGGGAAUAUUGCACAAUGGGGGAAACCCUGAUGCAGCGACGCCGCGUGAACGAAGAAGGUAUUCGUAUCGUAAAGCUCUGUCCUAUGGGAAGAUAAUGACAGUACCAUAGAAGAAAGCUCCGGCUAAAUACGUGCCAGCAGCCGCGGUGAUACGUAUGGAGCGAGCGCUGUCCGGAAUUAUUGGGCGUAAAGGGUACGCAGGCGGUUUAAUAAGUCGAAUGUUAAAGAGCGGGGCUCAACCCCGUAAAGCAUUGGAAACUGAUAAACUGGAGUAGUGGAGAAGAAAGUGGAAUUCCUAGUGUAGUGGUGAGAUACGUAGAUAUUAGGAGGAAUACCAGUAGCGAAGGCGACUUUCUGGACACAAACUGACGCUGAGGUACGAAAGCGUGGGGAGCAAACAGG